rnacentral:rRNA from 1 species
GAUGAACGCUGGCGGCGUGCCUAAUACAUGCAAGUCGAGCGAACAGAUGAGGAGCUUGCUCCUCUGACGUUAGCGGCGGACGGGUGAGUAACACGUGGAUAACCUACCUAUAAGACUGGGAUAACUUCGGGAAACCGGAGCUAAUACCGGAUAAUAUAUUGAACCGCAUGGUUCAAUAGUGAAAGACGGUUUUGCUGUCACUUAUAGAUGGAUCCGCGCCGCAUUAGCUAGUUGGUAAGGUAACGGCUUACCAAGGCAACGAUGCGUAGCCGACCUGAGAGGGUGAUCGGCCACACUGGAGCUGAGACACGGUCCAGACUCCUACGGGAGGCAGCAGUAGGGAAUCUUCCGCAAUGGGCGAAAGCCUGACGGAGCAACGCCGCGUGAGUGAUGAAGGUCUGCGGAUCGUAAAACUCUGUUAUUAGGGAAGAACAAAUGUGUAAGUAACUAUGCACGUCUUGACGGUACCUAAUCAGAAAGCCACGGCUAACUACGU